rnacentral:rRNA from 1 species
UCGUGACCCUGACCAAAAUAGACCGCGCACGCGUCAUCCAAUCCGUCGGUGACGGCAUCGUCCGUCGCUCGGACAAUGCCUCGACCACCUCCCCUCCUCGGAGUGGGCGGGGGCUCGGGGUAAAAGAACCCACGGCGCCGAAGGCGUCAAGGAACACUGUGCCUAACCCGGGGGCAUGGCUAGCUUGCUAGCCGUCCCUCGUGUUGCAAAGCUAUUUAAUCCACACGACUCUCGGCAACGGAUAUCUCGGCUCUCGCAUCGAUGAAGAACGUAGCGAAAUGCGAUACCUGGUGUGAAUUGCAGAAUCCCGCGAACCAUCGAGUCUUUGAACGCAAGUUGCGCCCGAGGCCACUCGGCCGAGGGCACGCCUGCCUGGGCGUCACGCCAAAACACGCUCCCAACCCCCUCAUCGGGAACCGGGAUGCGGCAUCUGGUCCCUCGUCUCGCAAGGGGCGGUGGACCGAAGAUCGGGCUGCCGGUGUACCGCGCCGGACACAGCGCAUGGUGGGCGUCCUCGCUUUAUCAACGCAGUGCAUCCGACGCGUAGCCGACAUGAUGGCCUCAAAACGACCCAGCAAACGAAGCGCACGUCGCUUCGACC